rnacentral:tRNA from 1 species
UCUAAUAUGGCAGAUUAGUGCAAUGGAUUUAAGCUCCAUAAAUAAAGCUGAAGCUUUUUUUAGAA